rnacentral:rRNA from 1 species
CUAACACAUGCAAGUCGAAUGGUAACAGGAAACAGCUUGCUGUUUCGCUGACGAGUGGCGGAGGGGUGAGUAAUGUCUGGGAAACUGCCUGAUGGAGGGGGAUAACUACUGGAAACGGUAGCUAAUACCGCAUAACGUCGCAAGACCAAAGAGGGGGACCUUCGGGCCUCUUGCCAUCAGAUGUGCCCAGAUGGGAUUAGCUAGUAGGUGGGGUAACGGCUCACCUAGGCGACGAUCCCUAGCUGGUCUGAGAGGAUGACCAGCCACACUGGAACUGAGACACGGUCCAGACUCCUACGGGAGGCAGCAGUGGGGAAUAUUGCACAAUGGGCGCAAGCCUGAUGCAGCCAUGCCGCGUGUAUGAAGAAGGCCUUCGGGUUGUAAAGUACUUUCAGCGGGGAGGAAGGGAGUAAAGUUAAUACCUUUGCUCAUUGACGUUACCCGCAGAAGAAGCACCGGCUAACUCCGUGCCAGCAGCCGCGGUAAUACGGAGGGUGCAAGCGUUAAUCGGAAUUACUGGGCGUAAAGCGCACGCAGGCGGUUUGUUAAGUCAGAUGUGAAAUCCCCGGGCUCAACCUGGGAACUGCAUCUGAUACUGGCAAGCUUGAGUCUCGUAGAGGGGGGUAGAAUUCCAGGUGUAGCGGUGAAAUGCGUAGAGAUCUGGAGGAAUACCGGUGGCGAAGGCGGGCCCCUGGACGAAGACUGACGCUCAGGUGCGAA